CCUACGGGAGGCAGCAGUGAGGAAUAUUGGUCAAUGGGCGAGAGCCUGAACCAGCCAAGUCGCGUGAGGGAGUACUGCCCUAUGGGUUGUAAACCUCUUUUGUCGGGGAGCAAAAGCCGGACGUGUCCGGCUGUGAGAGUACCCGAAGAAAAAGCAUCGGCUAACUCCGUGCCAGCAGCCGCGGUAAUACGGAGGAUGCGAGCGUUAUCGGGAUUUAGUGGGUUUAAAGGGUGCGCAGGCGGAUCUUUAAGGCAGCGGUCAAAUCGUGGGGCUCAACCCCAUCCAGCCGUUGAAACUGGGGAUCUAGAGUGUGCGAGAGGUAUGCGGAAUGCGUGGUGUAGCGGUGGAAUGCAUAGAUAGCACGCAGAACCCCGAUUGCGAAGGCAGCAUACCGGUGCACAACUGACGCUCAGGCACGAAAGCGUGGGUAUCGAACAGGAUUAGAUACCCUAGUAGUC
rnacentral:rRNA from 1 species